UUCAUAGAGUGUAAAGGCAUAAGGGAGCUUGACUGCGAGACCUACAAGUCGAGCAGGGUCGAAAGACGGACUUAGUGAUCCGGUGGUUCCGCAUGGAAGGGCCAUCGCUCAACGGAUAAAAGCUACCCCGGGGAUAACAGGCUUAUCUCCCCCAAGAGUUCACAUCGACGGGGAGGUUUGGCACCUCGAUGUCGGCUCAUCGCAUCCUGGGGCUGUAGUCGGUCCCAAGGGUUGGGCUGUUCGCCCAUUAAAGCGGUACGCGAGCUGGGUUCAGAACGUCGUGAGACAGUUCGGUCCCUAUCCGUCGUGGGCGUAGGAAAUUUGAGAGGAGCUGUCCUUAGUACGAGAGGACCGGGAUGGACAUACCUCUGGUGUACCAGUUGUCGUGCCAACGGCAUAGCUGGGUAGCUAUGUGUGGACGGGAUAAGUGCUGAAAGCAUCUAAGCAUGAAGCCCCCCUCAAGAUGAGAUUUCCCAACUUCGGUUAUAAGAUCCCUCAAAGAUGAUGAGGUUAAUAGGUUCGAGGUGGAAGCAUGGUGACAUGUGGAGCUGACGAAUACUAAUCGAUCGAAGACUUAAUCAA
rnacentral:rRNA from 1 species